rnacentral:rRNA from 1 species
UACGAAGGGAGCUAGCGUUGUUCGGAAUUACUGGGCGUAAAGGGCGUGUAGGCGGUACCAUAAGUCAGAUGUGAAAGCCCUAGGCUUAACCUAGGAGGUGCAUUUGAUACUGUGGAACUAGAGAUCGAGAGAGGAAAGUGGAAUUACGAGUGUAGAGGUGAAAUUCGUAGAUAUUCGUAAGAACACCAGUGGCGAAGGCGACUUUCUGGCUUGAUACUGACGCUAAGGCGCGAAAGCGUGGGGAGCAAACAGG